GGAAGUAUGCUCAGUGGUAGAGCUCAUGCCUAGUAUGAACGAGGUCCUUGGUUCAAUCCCCAGUACUUCCU
rnacentral:tRNA from 1 species